rnacentral:sRNA from 1 species
AGCAAUAGUCAAAUCUCAAGGUGGGUCGGCUAGCCCCGGAGGAAGGGGGUGAUGCCUAUGACAGUAUUCGAGACCUUUAUGGCAAUGUUUUCUUUUGCCAGUCUAAUCCUCGCAAUCCUGACAUUAAGCCAAAAAAAAUAGACCUCUCAUAAUCGUAAAACGGUGAGAGGUCCAGCUGCUUUUUUGCCGAUCUUCUAAGGGAACGGCUAUUGCGGAGACUGUCGGUGGGCCAACACCGGCA